UUACGGCCAUAACACGUUGAAACGCCGAUUCUCGUCUGAUCAUCGAAGUUAAGCAACGUCUGGCCUAGUCAGUACCUAGAUGGAUAACCGAUUGGGAAUAUCAUGUGCUGUAA